GUUUUCAAUGCAAAAUCACCGUCCCAUUCUGACCAACCUGCUGGAUCAAUAUGGUCUCCAAUGUUGGACUGCAUGUACACUGUCCUCGAGUACGCUUUCCAUGGUCUGCCCAAAUAUGUCUUCACGGACCCUUUUACUGGUGCAAGGUCCGAGCUAGGAAUAAUGUCACAAUUCUGGAUUGAAGUUCCUGUAUUUUGGUUUGGAUCUUCGCGACCUUGUGCUGUAACCAUGUUUUUCUGUCCGCUCAUGGGCUUUCGCGCUGCCAGUUUAGAGUUUUGGAACACAACUGCUGCGUUACCAAAGAUAAAAUCGACAGUGCCAAUGAUGUAACAAUCUCUGUAGAAUUGACGGAGAGUGUGGGUAUAGAGAGUGUCCUGGAAUGCAUCCAUUUUGCAACGGUUGAUAACGGACUGAUCUGCUCCAACACGAAGGGCCACUGCUUGGUGCUUUUGUGGCCCUGCUGUGUUUUGGAAUUGUAUAUCUUGGGCUAUGAAUCCAUCCCCAACAGCAGCUGCAUUUAACAAAGUAAACAACUUCAUCAAUUUUUCAAAACACAUCUUCAUGUCAAAAUCCAAGCCUCUUUGUCAGACCAAAAAAGAUAAGUCAAAAGAGUAUAGUGAGAAAUGAGAUAUUUACCAACAGUUGCAGAUUUGAAAGUUGUUGAGCCAUCAAUAACAUUCAAGUUUCCAGUGAUAAUAGUUGCAUCCAUGCCAUCACCCACAAGCAUUAUAUUCUUCUUCUUUUUCCCAAUCUCAACAUUUUCUUUAUAAGUUCCUUUUUUGACAUAAAUAACAUAUCGAGUCUUACUAUUAUCUGGAGCAGAAGCAACUGCUUCUUUUACGGUUUUGUAUUUUCCACUGCCAUCUUUAGCCACUACAACAUUGGCUGCUAUUGCAUUUGCUGAAAGUUGCAAAAGUCUUCUAUCAUUAGCACUAACCCAUGAGGGCAAUCCAUCACUAACUGUUGGUACAAUAUUCUUUUGUGGUGCAAUUGCAACCAUCAAGGCCAAGGAAGUCCUUGCUCUUGCUACCAAAUCAUUCAACAUAGGCUCCAUAAUAGACCGGACCUGGCCAUUUAGGCCAUCUAUGCAAGUAACAUGGUUGGUGAGAAUGCUACUUAGCCAUGAAUGAACAUCAAAAUGGGCUUGGACCGUUAGGUUCCCAAGUCCCACCAUGGAGUCCAUUAAUCUAUCCCUUGACAAAUCCAUCAACUCUAAACAAUCUUCUAGAGCUACUUGUUCCUGGCCAUUAUUGAUCCGACCAUUCACAUUGCUCGCCAAAUGGAUCGUCUCGUGGAUUUUUAACGAUGAUUUAUGCAAAACCAUCUGUAGCAAAUCAACUGUUUUUGUAUCCAUCAGACCAGCAGGUGCAACCUCAGACAGCAUGGCUAAGCAAGAUGGCUGAUCAUGGGCCGUAUCACAAACACGAGUUGUCAAGGAAAUUGAUGUACGAUUGAUGGCCCAGAUUGAAAUGAAUCCAACUGAGCCCACAAUAGCAGCUAAGGAGAGAAGCACAUAGAGAGCUUUAGUAGAAGAGGAAGAUUUUGUUUGGGAGAAUCUAACAAUGGUUGAGAGGAAGUAGCCAUGACCUUGUGAAAAUAUGGAGUGAGACUUCAGUUUGCUAUGGAUCUUCUCAUUUCUCGUCUUAUUAUAUAGACUCAAAAAACACCAAUAAUGUUCCAUAUAUAAAUUAAAACACUAUUAUUUAAUAAAGCUACUUUAAUUUACUUUAUUAGGUGGUCUGGAAAGAUUCAGGUAUUAUAUUAUAUUAUCAAUGUUUCUUUUCAUGGCGAAGUAGGUAUGGUUAAUCCAUAUGCUAGUGUAGGUAGUUUUUUAUUUAAAUUAUUAAUUAUGCUCAACCAGCAAAAAUAUAGUACGAUUGAAUUUGUUAUAAGGUCAAAGACAUAACAUUUCAAUUUAACUCAUCGAUAGGUAUAUUAGCAGUUAAAUAUAAUGAAGUAGAGUGCAAACGGUCUUAGAUGUGUGGGUAGAUUGAUACGGAAAUGAUCGACAACGAAGACUUAGUAAAAUAUAAAUAGCUUGAACUAAGAAUAUCGUUAUAUUGUUUAGAAUUCAAUCCUUUACAUGUAUAUCAAUACUACUAUUUCAUUAAUUGUUUGGCAAAUAAGGAUGCUAUAUUAACCAGUUGAAAAGCUUUCCUUUUUUUUUUCUUUUUUUGGAGGGAAAGGAUAUAUUAUAAUGUAUAUAUAAGUUGAAAAGCUUUCGCUCAAGCCUUAAAAGUACUGAAAACAUCCCACAGAAAAGCUCUAUCUGAAAAUACUAUUACUCAUGCUAGCCGAUAAAUAGCAGGUUGUAAUCAAUUUAUAUCAGGUUAGAAAGUAAUAUUUAAAGAUGAAUAUAUAAUAAUCUUUUUAUAUCACGAGUACAUAUUUGAAAUCAUAAGAUGAAAUCAGCGUGAAAUUACAUAUCUAAAUGCUGAUUCUAUCUCACGAUACCAUAUAUCGCAUGAUCAAGCGCCUACUAAAUAUUAUUUCUCCACACAUACACAGUACUUAGCAUUUAGAAAGCUCAAAUCUUGUUGUUGUUUUUUUAAAAUCAUAAUAAAGUGUCGGUGUAAUAGUAUAACAGCUACGUAAAACUAUACUAAUAAGUUGAGUAGAAUUAUUGCUCAAAGAUAAGAUAUUUAAAUUGGAUCCAAUUGGCCCUUAAAACAUUAAAGAGUCAUUUGUUUAAAGCAUAUAGAAAUUAAAAACCAGAAUCAAUUUGACCAAACCAUCAUCUAUAUAGCCAUGUAUUUUAACAAAUUUUUUCUAGUUAAAAGAGAGCAAUAUCCAUAACAGUUCUUUCCUUUUAUAAUAAACUUCAACUUGGAUAUUUUAAUGACCUGUCUGUCUUUAUUCCUUUUGUUUGAUUGAUAUACUAUAUAUAUAACUGGUCUUUUUAUUUGUUCACCUUAGCAAAUUAAUCAAAAGAAUUAAUGCAAUCUUUUAACUUUAAUGUUUUACGUGAUAUGUUUAAGGUCAUAAGAUUAAAGAUGUUUUGAUAUAUUUGAGAUAAUUUUAAUUAAAAACUACAAUAUUAAAAAGUCUUCAUUCUUUUCUUAGAUUCCAUAACAAGUCAAACAUAGUCAUUUCUUUUAAAACGAAGGAAAUAUAAUGAUUGGUUCAUGUUUUUCUUUUUCUGAUAACUAAUACAUUAUAAGUAAUGAAGGAAUGUCUACGUAUUAUCUCAUGUAGUAGUAGAAAGAUCGAAUAAUUAAUAUUUCUAAUCUCUGGAUAGUUAAUGUCUGUAUAAUUACGAAGAUGUAUAAAUUUUUAUAUUAUCUCUUUGUUCAUAUUUACUUGUCUAUCAUAUUAAAAAUAAUUAUUCAAUAAUAUUUUUCUAGUUCAAUAAAUCAAGAGAUAAUUUACCUUUUUAUGCUUGUUUUACCAUUCUAUUAAAUGUCACUCAACAUCUAAUAUAUAUAUUUUUAAAGUAUUAAAUUUAACAUAUUCAAAAGAUAAUACAGUAACAUUUUCUUUUUCUAUUAGUAUUUCUUAAAUAUAUGUCAAGUCAAGAAGGAACAACUCUUUAAUAAGAAGGAGUACCAAAUUUGCAUACUCUAGAAACAACUAAACAAUCCCAAAACUUGAGUCGAUCAUGGUCUAUUGAAAAAGGUUUUUCACUUUCACAUUAUAAGAAUUUGUUUAAGUACACAUCAUUACUCUUUGACUUCAUUUAUCUAAUUAGAUUAGAGGUGUUAUUGUUGUUUUAGAAUCAUAAAUAUGGAAUAAUAUUUGUUUUUGUUUUUGAAAUUGGUUGGGUUGUGUUGUAUAAUGUGAAGUUUUUUAAGUACCUCUGGUACUUAUUUUUUUAAUUUUUCUCAGUACACAUUUUGAUAAAAGUCAUGUGUCAUACUUAAAAAUUAAAGGUGGAAAUUUAUAAAUGAAAGUCAUGUGUCAUACUUAAAUCUCUAUCUUUAGUUUUUAAAUAGGGAAAAAACUCAAAUAUGUCAUCGAAUUUUUAGAAAAGGCUCAUUUAUGUCAUUCGUUAGAAGUUUGGCUCAUUUAUGCCACUGUUGUUAAAUAAAAGGUUCAUUCAUGCCAUUUUUUUAACUCCGAUUUUGCAAAACCAUUUUUUACACACCAAACAAGGUUUAAUACUUUUGCGUGGGCGUUUUUGGAUCAAAUGUAUACUUUUUGUUUGUUUUUCUUUAAAAAUAUCAAGAACACAUGAAGAACAUAAAUAACUCCCAAAUUUUCAACAUCUUCAAUUCUUCACGAAAUCAUCUAAAAUUUCGGCUACUUCAUUAAUUCUUUUUUUAAAAAAAAUAAAAUCUGACAUCAUCUGCAGAGUUCAAAAAAUUCACCCAUAUUUAAAAAAUAUAUUCCAAGAAAACGAAAAUUAGUCCCAAAAUUUCAAAUUUUUCUUUGAUUCUUGUUUUUGUAGUUUUUAUAUUAGAUCUUUGUUGACUAGUAUUUUUUGAGUUUAUGUUCAAAAUUUCAAAUGAUUUGAAGUUGUGGAGAAUCUACAAUUAAAGAAUGUUGAAGUUUUGAAACUUUGAAGAAAUUUCAAUUGGGUCUUGUGGAGUUAUGUUGAAUUCGAGCUCAAAAGAAAUUGAGUUUUGAUAUCUUGCUCGUAGUGAAACUACUCUUGAAAUUUUUUGAGGCGAUUCGUGAAAAAUUAAAUAAAUUGAAAUUUGGGAUUUGUUAAUGUUCUUAUGUGUUCUUAGCAGUGAUGUAAAAGCAAAAAGUAUACAUUUGAUUCAAAAACACCAAUAGAAAAGUUCUAAACCUUGUUUGGUAUGUAAAAAGUGGUUUUACAAAAUCGGAGUUACAAAAAUGGCAUAUAUGAGCUUUUUAUUUAACAAUAAUUACAUAAAUAAGUCAAACUUUAACGAAUGACAUAAAUGAACUUUUUUUAAAAAUUCGAUAACAUAUUUGAGCCUUUUCCCUUUUAAAUAUGACACAUGACUUUCGUCCAAAUGUUUACUUAGGGAAAAGGAGAGAAUUAAUAAUGGAACGAAUUUAACUCCUCUCCAUUAUUUAUUGUCUAUUGCGACAAACGCUUGUCAGAAAGUCUUUGGGUUACAUCAAAAUUAAGAAAAAGAGAGAUUUUCAGUUUUUUUAAUACCUUUAAUACUUUAUUUUUUAUAUUAACAUAUUUAAUACGACGAAUUACUUAUUAUUGUAAUGUAAAUUCAAUAUAUAUAAUAAUAUAUAAAUAAUUUACAUUGUUAACCCACAAACAUCAACUUGUUCUUAAAUAGUGUCAAAAUAAUUUUAAAGAAUUACUCGGUUUACGAUAUAUCUAUAAAUAUUCCCUUAAUUGGUGGCUUUCAUGAUCACUUAAAUGGGUUGUUGGGCACUAAAAACGACCUCUCAUGCAUGUUUUUUUUUUAAAAGAUCUAAUAAAUGAAAACUAAAGUGAUUCAUGUUGCAUUAUUUUUUUCUAUCAAUAAUGGCGACAAGAAAACAUGCUCUUCCAAAAGAAUACUUUGCUUUAGCAGAAAAUAAAUUUGUACGGAAUAUAUGAUUUAUUUUAGGCGAUCAAUUCCAAAUUUGAAAAGUGGUACGAGGAAUAUGAUUGAACUUUAAUUGGUGUUAAGAGUGUCAUCAAAAUAAGCAGAGUUAAUAAUGAAUUUAUCAUUAAUUCGUCCAAUAAAAUUAAAAAGAAAAAUGGUUUAGUUACACUUAAGUUUAUAGAUUUAGAAAAAAGAAAAUCACUUAUUAACUUUUAUGAAUAAAUUGGAUAACUAACUUAUUAACUUUUAUAAAUAAAUUGGAUAACUAACGCACUAGACAUAUGGAACGUGAACGACUAUAAAAUAUCUAUUUUUAGAAAGUAGCCUAAAAUAAACGACAAGAUCAUUCCUAUCCAUGAUAGACAUCACAACAAUGACUUCCUCUUUUAUAUAGUUAUAAUGAAUAAGAAAAAAAAAGUCACGUGGGCAAUUUGAUAUAUAUUGAUAUAUAUUGCUUACCUACCAACCUCAUCAAUGCAUCAGCAAGAAGAAAAUAAGAUUAUCGACUAGUUCCUGCUAUCAAUAAACAAUCCCAGUUUAUGUGAUUGGACAUCAAAUUUAAUACAGCAAUUUAAUUUAUCUAUCUACCUAUAUAUAUAUAUAUAUAUAUAUUGAAAAAACGAACGCGUGUUUAAACAGAAAACACCAAAUAUCUAAAUUUAAGUUUCAAAUUUGCGUUGUGACAAUCUGUGUUAAAUAUCCGUCUAAAAGAAUAUCAUUUUACUAUAAUUAAAAAAUAAUUUAUUUAAUUUUAAAAUAUUUUUUUUAUUCAUAAUGAAAUAGAGAGUCCGGAGAUAAAAGGGCAAAAAAAUUGUCAAAAACUUCGAAAGGGCAUAUCAAUUUUUUUUUAACCAAAAGAGCAAAAUCACUCCUGACGGAAUGAUUUUGUUCUGAUAAUUUUAUUUUAAUAUUGCUACGAGUGCAGCGUUUUUUUUAAAAAAUGAUUUAAAAUUGAAAUCGCUGCAGCGAUUUCUUUUUCAUUAAAAAAGUUAAUAGAAGCAUGCAGCAUUUUGAUUUGCCCCUGCAACAUUUGUUAAAUUUUUUUACCCUUUUAGUUUCCUCUACCUGCUAGAACUUAAUAUAAAAUUUAAAUGUAAUGAUGAUAAGUGAUGGGUUUUGUAAUUCCUAAUAUAAAUCUAGUGACCCUAGAGACAUUCUAAUAUGAAAGAAGAUAAAAUUGUUUUAAUAUUCACAGUAUUGGAAGCUCUCCUCUUUUCACAAAGAUGCAUAUUGAAAUCUAAGUAAUGUGAAUUAAUUUUAUAGAUUUUCUGUAAGGAAAAUAAUAGAUAUAUCGAGUUCCUAUGUUAGUCAUAAUAAAUGAAAGUAUUAAUGGGUUUAUGUAUACUUGAUUGAAGGAAUCCGAGGGCUAUAGAUGGAAUAUUUAACCAAACUAAGUCAUUAUAUAAAAUAAUUUAUCAAAGUAAUAUAUUUUUCUAAAAUUUUACAAAAUUAAUAUAAACGUAUUUCAUGGUAACGUUUUAGGGUAUAUUUUAUUUUUAAAAAAAACUAACAACAUUAGAUUGAUAUACGUUAGUGUAAGUAACGUUUUACUUUUAAAACGUUAUUUUCUGUAACGUUUUACUCCUAAAACGUUACUGUGAGUAACGUACAUCAAUCUGACGCCAUCAACUUUUAAAAAAUAAAAUAUAUCCUAAAACGUUACUGUAGAAUACGUUUAUACUAGUUUUGUAAAAUUUUAGAAAAAUAUAUUAUUUUGGUGAAUAACUUUAUAUAAGGACUUAGUUUGGUUAAAAUCCCGCCAUAGAUGAUAGAUUUUCUACUGUGAUGGCUGCUCUUAAUUCUCCCAACUUUAAACACUAUGGGAAUAAUAAUAAAGUAUUGUUUUUUUCUUGGAUAGUUUGGGACUUUAUCUGCAGCUUUAAUAUUUAUUUAGAAGAACAUAUCAUAACAUGAUUUUAUCCGAGUGGAAGUUAUAAAAUUGGUAAAUGUUAAGUACUCCACCGGGUGAAGUUUUUUUUUUCCACCUCGUAUUUCAUAUCAAGAUAUAUUAAAACCUAACAGAAUGUUCAAUAAUUUUUUUUAGAGUAAUACAUCAAUAAUCAUCUAAAGUUGGCAUAAAUUUUCACUUAAAUAUUUUAACUAAAUUUUGUUCAUUUUAGACACUUCAUGUCAUGUCUCGUUGUGUCAGUUUGAUACUUUUUGCUAAAAUGACAUAGUGAGUGAAAUACACUCACUACCAGUGUGUGAAAAGCUUAUUUAAUUCUUUUUAUUUUAUUUUUUCGUCCUUUUCUUCAUUUUUUAAGUAUCAUCUCCCAAAACUUGAACUCCUUCCAUGAAAAAGUAGAUAUGACGGUGUUAAUUAGUUAAAACAAAUACAACCAACAUUAUAGUAGAGAAAAACAAUUGAAAAAGAUUAAAGAAAAGAGUAUUGUGUCUUAAAUGAAGAACUAAUCAUAAAUUUGAAAGAAAGAAUUUCACCAAGAAAACGAGUUGGGUAAUGGAGACAAGGGAGUUCUGGUGGUGGGGCUGAUGAGGAAGAUGGUUAGGGAAUCGGGUGGGGGUGGGGGUGGGGGUGGGCUUUGGGAGAGGGAAGCUGGAGAAGAUGAUAUAUAUGAUAAGACUGUUUUUUUUAAUUUUUUAGGCUUUAAAAAUAACAAAUGUCAUUUGAGUGAUUGUCCUUUUUCUACAUAAAAAAUUCAUGAGUGAUUGUCCUUUUUCUACAUAAAAAAUUCAUGAGUGAUUGUCCUUUUUCUACAUAAAAAAUUCAUUAAUUAAAAAUUAUUUUUGACAUAUAUGUGACAAGUAUUUAUUUAAAUCGUUAUGUGUAAAAUGGGUAAAAUCUAAUUAAAGUAUCUAAGUAAAAUUUUGUAACAAAUUUAGGUGACCAUCGAAUGAUUAGGCCUUAUUUUUAAUAAUGAUGGUGUCUAAGUAAAACUUAAUGAUGAAUUGCUUUUAGUAAGUCUAAACGUUUUCCUCGAAAUUGCAUUAUCGCAGAAUGACAUAUUUCGCCUCAACUAAGGAUAGUACCAUCAGAUGAAAUUGCAUUAUGCUGAUUGCUUUGUAAUAUUGAGCAACAUUUAUUCAAUUUGCAGUCGCUAUUAGUUAGUACAUGCAAGUCUAAAAAAUUUAAUUUAUGCCUUCGUAUUGUGGCCUGGUUCAGUCAUCAGUACCACAACAAAGCAGCAUAUUAUUAUUAUCAUCACAGAACAAGCAUACAAAAAAAAGCAACCAAAACAUACUAAAACUUCACUAGCAAUACAUAUUUUAAAUCAAACAAGUUCCUCACAACCCAUCAGUGUAAGCGACACCAGUAGAUUUUAACCAUGCUGCUCCUUGAAUCAGCUGACCCACAGUGAAUUUCGCGGCCUCUGAUUUAGUCAAGGCUUUAUGAUAACCAGGCCAGUUCACUCUCUUACUAGUUCCAGCACCAGCUCCUCUGUUCAUGUACUCACCAUAAUACAAUGUUUUCAAUGCAAAAUCACCGCUCCAUUCUGACCAACCUGCUGGAUCAAUAUGGUCUCCAAUGUUGGACUGCAUAUACACGGUCCGUGAAUACGCUUUCCAUGGUCUGCCCAAAUAUGUCUUCACCGACCGUUUUACUGGUGCAAGGUCCGAGCUAGGAAUAAUGUCGCAAUUCUGGAUUGAAGUUCCUGUAUUUUGGUUUGGAUCUUCACGACCUUGUGCUGUAACCAUGUUUUUCUGUCCGCUCAUGGGCUUUCGGGCUGCCAGUUUAGAGUUUUGGAACACAACUGCUGCGUUACCAAAGAUAAAAUCGACAGUGCCAGUGAUGUAACAAUCUCUGUAGAAUUGACGGAGAGUGUGGGUAUAGAGAGUGUCCUGGAAUGCAUCCAUUUUGCAACGGUUGAUAACGGACUGAUCUGCUCCAACACGAAGGGCCACUGCUUGGUGCUUUUGUGGCCCUGCUGUGUUUUGGAAUUGUAUAUCUUGGGCUAUGAAUCCAUCCCCAACAGCAGCUGCAU
rnacentral:lncRNA from 1 species